rnacentral:rRNA from 1 species
AGCUACAGGCUUAACACAUGCAAGUCGAGGGGCAUCAGGAAGAAAGCUUGCUUUCUUUGCUGGCGACCGGCGCACGGGUGAGUAACACGUAUCCAACCUGCCCUUUACUCGGGGAUAGCCUUUCGAAAGAAAGAUUAAUACCCGAUAGCAUAAUGAUUCCGCAUGGUUUCAUUAUUAAAGGAUUCCGGUAAAGGAUGGGGAUGCGUUCCAUUAGGUUGUUGGUGAGGUAACGGCCCACCAAGCCUUCGAUGGAUAGGGGUUCUGAGAGGAAGGUCCCCCACAUUGGAACUGAGACACGGUCCAAACUCCUACGGGAGGCAGCAGUGAGGAAUAUUGGUCAAUGGGCGCUAGCCUGAACCAGCCAAGUAGCGUGAAGGAUGAAGGCUCUAUGGGUCGUAAACUUCUUUUAUAUAAGAAUAAAGUGCAGUAUGUAUACUGUUUUGUAUGUAUUAUAUGAAUAAGGAUCGGCUAACUCCGUGCCAGCAGCCGCGGUAAUACGGAGGAUCCGAGCGUUAUCCGGAUUUAUUGGGUUUAAAGGGAGCGUAGGUGGACUGGUAAGUCAGUUGUGAAAGUUUGCGGCUCAACCGUAAAAUUGCAGUUGAUACUGUCAGUCUUGAGUACAGUAGAGGUGGGCGGAAUUCGUGGUGUAGCGGUGAAAUGCUUAGAUAUCACGAAGAACUCCGAUUGCGAAGGCAGCUCACUGGACUGCAACUGACACUGAUGCUCGAAAGUGUGGGUAUCAAACAGGAUUAGAUACCCUGGUAGUCCACACAGUAAACGAUGAAUACUCGCUGUUUGCGAUAUACAGUAAGCGGCCAAGCGAAAGCAUUAAGUAUUCCACCUGGGGAGUACGCCGGCAACGGUGAAACUCAAAGGAAUUGACGGGGGCCCGCACAAGCGGAGGAACAUGUGGUUUAAUUCGAUGAUACGCGAGGAACCUUACCCGGGCUUAAAUUGCAGUGGAAUGAUGUGGAAACAUGUCAGUGAGCAAUCACCGCUGUGAAGGUGCUGCAUGGUUGUCGUCAGCUCGUGCCGUGAGGUGUCGGCUUAAGUGCCAUAACGAGCGCAACCCUUAUCUUUAGUUACUAACAGGUUAUGCUGAGGACUCUAGAGAGACUGCCGUCGUAAGAUGUGAGGAAGGUGGGGAUGACGUCAAAUCAGCACGGCCCUUACGUCCGGGGCUACACACGUGUUACAAUGGGGGGUACAGAAGGCAGCUAGCGGGUGACCGUAUGCUAAUCCCAAAAUCCUCUCUCAGUUCGGAUCGAAGUCUGCAACCCGACUUCGUGAAGCUGGAUUCGCUAGUAAUCGCGCAUCAGCCACGGCGCGGUGAAUACGUUCCCGGGCCUUGUACACACCGCCCGUCAAGCCAUGGGAGCCGGGGGUACCUGAAGUACGUAACCGCAAGGAUCGUCCUAGGGUAAAACUGGUGACUGGGG